rnacentral:rRNA from 1 species
AGGGUUCGAUCUGGCGUCAGGAUGAACGCUAGCUACAGGCUAACACAUGCAAGUCGAGGGGCAUCGAGAGGAAAGCUUGCUUCCUGUCGGCGACCGGCGCACGGGUGAGUAACGCGUAUCCAACCUUCCCCUUAGUAGGGCAUAGCCCGGCGAAAGUCGGAUUAAUACCCUAUGUUUUCCGAUGAGGACAUCUGAGCUGGAAUAAAGAUUUAUCGCUAAGGGAUGGGGAUGCGUCUGAUUAGGUAGUCGGCGGGGUAACGGCCCACCGAGCCUACGAUCAGUAGGGGUUCUGAGAGGAAGGUCCCCCACAUUGGUACUGAGACACGGACCAAACUCCUACGGGAGGCAGCAGUGAGGAAUAUUGGUCAAUGGGCGAGAGCCUGAACCAGCCAAGUAAGCGUGCAGGAUGACGGCCCUAUGGGUUGUAAACUGCUUUUAUCGGGGGAUAAAGUGAGGGACGCGUCCCUUUUUGUAGGUACCCGAUGAAUAAGGACCGGCUAAUUCCGUGCCAGCAGCCGC